rnacentral:rRNA from 1 species
AGUGAACGCUGGCGGUAGGCCUAACACAUGCAAGUCGAACGGCCGCACAGGAGAGCUUGCUCUCUGGGUGGCGAGUGGCGGACGGGUGAGGAAUACAUCGGAAUCUACCUUUUCGUGGGGGAUAACGUAGGGAAACUUACGCAAAUACCGCAUACGACCUACGGGUGAAAGUGGGGGACCGCAAGGCCUCACGCGAUUAGAUGAGCCGAUGUCCAAUUAGCUAGUUGGCGGGGUAAUGGCCCACCAAGGCGACGAUCGGUAGCUGGUCUGAGAGGAUGAUCAGCCACACUGGAACUGAGACACGGUCCAGACUCCUACGGGAGGCAGCAGUGGGGAAUAUUGGACAAUGGGCGCAAGCCUGAUCCAGCCAUACCGCGUGGGUGAAGAAGGCCUUCGGGUUGUAAAGCCCUUUUGUUGGGAAAGAAAUCCUGUCGAUUAAUACUCGGUGGGGAUGACGGUACCCAAAGAAUAAGCACCGGCUAACUUCGUGCCAGCAGCCGCGGUAAUAC